UACGGAGGGUGCAAGCGUUGUCUGGAUUUAUUGGGUUUAAAGGGUGCGUAGGCGGCCCGUUAAGUCAGUGGUGAAAGCCUCCAGCUCAACUGGAGAACUGCCAUUGAUACUGGCGGGCUUGAGUACAGACGAGGUAGGCGGAAUUGAUUGUGUAGCGGUGAAAUGCAUAGAUACAAUCAAGAACACCGAUUGCGUAGGCAGCUUACUAGGCUGUAACUGACGCUGAGGCACGAAAGCGUGGGGAGCGAACAGG
rnacentral:rRNA from 1 species